rnacentral:rRNA from 1 species
CCCCUAGAUGUUCUGGGCCGCACGCGCGCUACACUGAACAGUUCAACAAGUCUUAACCUUGGCCGAUAGGUCUGGGUAAUCUGUGAACGUGCAUCGUGAUAGGGAUAGAUUAUUGCAAUUAUUAAUCUUGAACGAGGAAUUCCUAGUAAACGCAAGUCAUCAGCUUGCAUUGAUUACGUCCCUGCCCUUUGUACACACCGCCCGUCGCACCUACCGAUCGAAGGUAAUGAUGAGCCCUCAGGAUUGUGGCCUCGUCGCGUCAGCGUCUUGGCUGCGAGAAUCUGUGCAAAUCCCUACCUUUAGAGGAAGGUGAAGUCGUAACA